GGCUGCGUGGUGUAGUGGUUACCCGAAGGAUUUAUACCUGGUAGUUUGGGGUUCGAUUCCCCGUGCCGCCU